GAGCGGCGGACGGGUGAGUAAUACUUAGGAAUCUACCUAGUAGUGGGGGAUAGCACGGGGAAACUCGUAUUAAUACCGCAUACGACCUACGGGAGAAAGGGGGCAGUUUACUGCUCUCGCUAUUAGAUGAGCCUAAGUCGGAUUAGCUAGAUGGUGGGGUAAAGGCCUACCAUGGCGACGAUCUGUAGCUGGUCUGAGAGGAUGAUCAGCCACACCGGGACUGAGACACGGCCCGGACUCCUACGGGAGGCAGCAGUGGGGAAUAUUGGACAAUGGGGGAAACCCUGAUCCAGCCAUGCCGCGUGUGUGAAGAAGGCCUUUUGGUUGUAAAGCACUUUAAGCAGUGAAGAAGACUCUUCGGUUAAUACCCGGAGACGAUGACAUUAGCUGCAGAAUAAGCACCGGCUAACUCUGUGCCAGCAGCCGCGGUAAUACAGAGGGUGCAAGCGUUAAUCGGAAUUACUGGGCGUAAAGCGAGCGUAGGUGGCUUGAUAAGUCAGAUGUGAAAUCCCCGGGCUUAACCUGGGAACUGCAUCUGAAACUGUUAGGCUAGAGUAGGUGAGAGGGAAGUAGAAUUUCAGGUGUAGCGGUGAAAUGCGUAGAGAUCUGAAGGAAUACCGAUGGCGAAGGCAGCUUCCUGGCAUCAUACUGACACUGAGGCUCGAAAGCGUGGGUAGCAAACAGGAUUAGAUACCCUGGUAGUCCACGCCGUAAACGAUGUCUACUAGUCGUUGGGUCCCUUGAGGACUUAGUGACGCAG
rnacentral:rRNA from 1 species